CCAACCUUAUCUCAGUUGGUAGAGCGGAGUACUGUAGAUUGAUUAAUCUAAAUUGGAAAUCCUUAGGUCGCUGGUUCGAAUCCGGCUGGUCGGA
rnacentral:tRNA from 1 species